rnacentral:rRNA from 1 species
GAUGAACGCUAGCGGCAGGCUUAACACAUGCAAGUCGAGGGGGUAGAAGGAGCUUGCUCCUUUGAGACCGGCGCACGGGUGCGUAACGCGUAUGCAAUCUACCUUUUGCAGAGGGAUAGCCCAGAGAAAUUUGGAUUAAUACCUCAUAGUAUGUGAGGAUGGCAUCAUUUUCACAUUAAAGUCACAACGGCAAAAGAUGAGCAUGCGUCCCAUUAGCUAGUUGGUAAGGUAACGGCUUACCAAGGCUACGAUGGGUAGGGGUCCUGAGAGGGAGAUCCCCCACACUGGUACUGAGACACGGACCAGACUCCUACGGGAGGCAGCAGUGAGGAAUAUUGGACAAUGGGCGCAAGCCUGAUCCAGCCAUGCCGCGUGC